GGUGGCGAGUGGCGAACGGGUGAGUAAUAUAUCGGAACGUACCCGGAAAUGGGGGAUAACGUAGCGAAAGUUACGCUAAUACCGCAUAUGCCCUAAGGGGGAAAGCGGGGGAUUCGCAAGAACCUCGCGUUUUCGGAGCGGCCGAUAUCGGAUUAGCUAGUAGGUGAGGUAAAGGCUCACCUAGGCGACGAUCCGUAGCUGGUCUGAGAGGACGACCAGCCACACUGGAACUGAGACACGGUCCAGACUCCUACGGGAGGCAGCAGUGAGGAAUUUUGGACAAUGGGCGCAAGCCUGAUCCAGCCAUGCCGCGUGAGUGAAGAAGGCCUUCGGGUUGUAAAGCUCUUUCAGCCGGAAAGAAAACGCACGGGAUAAUACCCCGUGUGGAUGACGGUACCGGAAGAAGAAGCACCGGCUAACUACGUGCCAGCAGCCGCGGUAAUACGUAGGGUGCGAGCGUUAAUCGGAAUUACUGGGCGUAAAGCGUGCGCAGGCGGUUUUGUAAGACAGAUGUGAAAUCCCCGGGCUUAACCUGGGAACUGCAUUUGUAACUGCAAGGCUAGAGUACGGCAGAGGGGGGUAGAAUUCCACGUGUAGCAGUGAAAUGCGUAGAUAUGUGGAGGAAUACCGAUGGCGAAGGCAGCCCCCUGGGUCGAUACUGACGCUCAUGCACGAAAGCGUGGGGAGCAAACAGGAUUAGAUACCCUGGUAGUCCACGCCCUAAACGAUGUCAACUAGGUGUUGGGGGAGGAGACUUCCUUAGUACCGCAGCUAACGCGUGAAGUUGACC
rnacentral:rRNA from 1 species